rnacentral:misc_RNA from 1 species
UUUCCGUAGGUGAACCUGCGGAAGGAUCAUUGUCGAAGCCUGCCAAGCAGGAUGACCGGUGGAUAUGUUUUUAACCGAUGGAGAUUCGAGUGUCAAUACGAAUCUCGUUUCUCCCAUGUCUUCGAUGCACGAGAGAAAACCAUCGUGCCCUACUGUUCAAGACUCGAUGUCUUAAUUGCGAUUCGGUCGAAUGCAAUUUAGUGUGUGAGUUGGUUGCUCCUCGUGUGUCGCCUGACACCAACAAAGAAAUCGGCGCGGAAUGUGCCAAGGAAAUCAAUUCCAAAGGGAAUGCUCUUCUGACAUGUCAUUGAUGUGCUCGGUAGGAUGCGCUCUGUGUUAUAACAAAAUGACUCUCGGCAACGGAUAUCUUGGCUCUCGUAUCGAUGAAGAACGCAGCAAAAUGCGAUACCUAGUGUGAAUUGCAGAAUCCCGCGAAUCAUUUAGUUUUUGAACGCAAGUUGCGCCCGAAGCCAAUAGGCUAAGGGCACGUCUGCCUGGGCAUCACGCACCGUGUUACCCCUCGUGUUCAGGGCAUGGGGGGUGAAUGAUGGUUUCCCGUGUGACGUUAGCACGGUUAGCCGAAAUAGGGAGUCUUCGGUGGCACGCCUCAUGACAAGUUGUGGAUUACGAUGUCUGGUGUGCGUUGCCAUGCGAUGACCUACAAAGGCCCUUUGAUCUCGUUUACCCUUUAAGAAGAUGCAGAUCACUUGCGACCCC